UGUUGAUGGUGUGGACAAUCCCGAAGAAGAUCUUUAAAUUGCUCCCAAGCAUGAUAUAAAUUAUCAUCUAGAUUUUGUUUGAAGCAUGCAAUCUUACUACACAAUCU
rfam:Capsicum annuum cultivar Zunla-1 chromosome 11, whole genome shotgun sequence